GAUGAACGCUGGCGGCGUGCCUAACACAUGCAAGUCGAGCGGCAGCGAGGGGUGCUUGCACCCUGUCGGCGAGCGGCGGACGGCUGAGUAACGCGUGGGAACGUGCCCCAAAGUGAGGAAUAACUGCCCGAAAGGGUAGCUAAUACCGCAUAUUAUCUUCGGAUCAAAGGAUUUAUCCGCUUUGGGAGCGGCUCGCGUCGGAUUAGGUAGUUGGUGAGGUAAUGGCUCACCAAGCCGACGAUCCGUAGCUGGUCUGAGAGGAUGACCAGCCAGACUGGAACUGAGACACGGUCCAGACUCCUACGGGAGGCAGCAGUGAGGAAUCUUCCACAAUGGGCGAAAGCCUGAUGGAGCAACGCCGCGUGCAGGACGAAGGCCUUCGGGUCGUAAACUGCUUUUAUAAGUGAGGAAUAUGACGGUAACUUAUGAAUAAGGAUCGGCUAACUACGUG
rnacentral:rRNA from 1 species